UACGGAGGGUGCAAGCGUUAAUCGGAAUUACUGGGCGUAAAGCGCACGCAGGCGGUCAGAUAAGUCAGAUGUGAAAGCCCCGGGCUCAACCUGGGAACUGCAUUUGAAACUGUCUGACUAGAGUCUUGUAGAGGGGGGUAGAAUUCCAGGUGUAGCGGUGAAAUGCGUAGAGAUCUGGAGGAAUACCGGUGGCGAAGGCGGCCCCCUGGACAAAGACUGACGCUCAGGUGCGAAAGCGUGGGGAGCAAACAGG
rnacentral:rRNA from 1 species